AUUCUAAUCCUGCUCAGUACGAGAGGAACCGCAGAUUCAGACAUUUGGUUCAUGUGCUUGGCUGAUAAGCCAAUGGUGCGAAGCUACCAUCUGAGGGAUUAUGACUGAACGCCUCUAAGUCAGAAUCCCGCCUGGAAAGCGACGAUGCAUUCGUGCCUCGGCCUCGAGAGGCGUAGCUAGACGGCCGCGUGGCCGUGGAAAGAGCCCGAUUCCGACCCGAGAGGCCGCGGCAAGAGGCGGCCUCGAAGUCGGUGGAUCCUCCUGCUCGAAAGGCGGGGUGCUAAACCAUUCGCAGACGACCUAGUUGAAGAUCGGGGUGUCGUGAUCACUAGAGCAGUACAUCUCACUGCGAUUUGUUGAGAGUAAGCCUCAAGAUCUGUCGGUUUGU
rnacentral:ncRNA from 1 species